CCUACGGGAGGCAGCAGUGAGGAAUAUUGGUCAAUGGGCGUAAGCCUGAACCAGCCAAGUCGCGUGAGGGAUGAAGGUUCUAUGUAUCGUAAACCUCUUUUAUAAGUGAAUAAAGUGCGGGACGUGUCCCGUUUUGUAUGUACCUUAUGAAUAAGGAUCGGCUAACUCCGUGCCAGCAGCCGCGGUCAUACGGAGGACCCGAUCGUUGUCCGGAGUUAUUGGGGUUAAAGGGUACGUAGGCGGCAUUUUAAGUCAGGGGUUAAAGUCUGGGGCGCAACCAUGGAAUUGCUGGUGACACUGGGCGGCGAGAGUAGGUUGGAGGCAGGCGGAAGGCGUGGUGUAGCGGUGGA
rnacentral:rRNA from 1 species